CAAGUCAAGAACAGAUCCGUUGAAUAGAACUGCCGGCCAGCUCUCUUCAGGCCGGGUCAGUGAGGCCUUGGUUCGCGCGUUGUGAGGUUGCCUCCUCGUUAUUGUGUUCAUUGGUGUGUGUAAUUUUUUUUUCUUUCAAUUUCUCGCUUGCAAGAUAUGAAAAGGAAAAGAAGGUGUAGUGAGAGCAGGUGCCGGCCAGUGCAGAGGCGGGAUUAUAUGUGGCGUGGGAGGAAGCAUGGGGAGCGUACUGGCGUCAAGCACUUACCGGUAUGUGAGGCUGCGGCAAGUGUCAGUGUAAUGCAGCAACGCCUGGAGGAUCUGAUUCCUGGCCGCCUGCAGUCUCACCUGAGCCUCAACACAGAAUUCUUGGAAAAAAAUCAUCGGGUCGAGACGCUAACUUACAGUAAAUACAUCCUGGCCUGGUGUGGCAAGGAGGGACUUUCGUGAUGUCCUCGUACACUCUCCAUGCAAGGGUCACUCGCUGGACAACCCAUUACGCGGCUCGGUAAACCUCGCAGAACUUCCAUUUGGGGAACUCUUGUGAAUGAAACAUGUAUAUCUUCAUCCGCAGAUGGCGUUGAUGGAGCCUCAUCGAGCUGCUCCAAGAAGCAUUAUCGCUGUGAACAAGUCAGUCUGAACAGCUUAACUGCUUACAUCGUCUUAUCCUUUACUACCAAACUGCUGUUGAUUUCUACUCCUUAACCAGUGUGUACGAUACCUGCUGCAUCUUGUUCUCUUGGUGAAUUGGAAACUCCUCCAUCCUAUGAAUCACAAGCACAAGUUUUAAGUUUGUAUUGAGAAUCAUCGUUCUUUUCAUAUACUUUGUAGGAUAAUUUGGAUUUUAUUAAAGCUGUGAGCCACCAGCGAGUGUCGUCAAGCCAAAAUUCCAGUCUUUUAGGUUUAUAUGUGAUAACAAAUGUAAACAUUAUAACUGCCA